rnacentral:rRNA from 1 species
CCCUUAGAUGUUCUGGGCCGCACGCGCGCUACACUGAUGCAUUCAACGAGUGUACCUUGGCCGAGAGGCCUGGGCAAUCUUUUGAACGUGCAUCGUGAUAGGGAUAGAUUAUUGCAAUUAUUAAUCUUGAACGAGGAAUUCCUAGUAAACGCAGAUCAUCAAUCUGCAUUGAUUACGUCCCUGCCCUUUGUACAUACCGCCCGUCACACCUACCGAUUGGAUGGUCCGGUGAAGCCUCGGGAUUGUGGCGGUUGCCUUUAUUGGUGGCCGCCGCGAGAACUUGUCUAAACCUUAUCAUCUAGAGGAAGGUGAAGUCGUAACA